UACGUAGGGGGCAAGCGCUGUCCGGAAUCAUUGGGCGUAAAGCGCGCGUAGGCGGCCCGGUAAGUCCGUUGUGAAAGUCAAAGGCUCAACCUUUGAACGCCGAUGGAUACUGCCGGGCUAGAGUCCGGAAGAGGCGAGUGGAAUUCCUGGUGUAGCGGUGGAAUGCGCAGAUAUCAGGAGGAACACCAAUAGCGAAGGCAGCUCACUGGGACGGUAUUGACGCUGAGACGCGAAAGCGUGGGGAGCAAACAGG
rnacentral:rRNA from 1 species